AACUCUAAUAGUAUCACAGGUUACAUUUGCUGGGAUCUUUAUGACAAAUUCUGCCUACAGGCAGGGUAAUGGAUUUUGAAAAUCUUUCAUGGAAUUUUAUACCCCCAAGAGUAUGUGAAAUUGAGUUCAGAAGUUGAAAGAAACAAGGAUUCAGAAAGUCUAUUGCCUUCAAGUAAGUAAGGUUCUGACCUUGGAUUUCACUUCCUUCAUCUGUAAAGUUAUUAGUGCUAGAACAGAUCAGUGAUUCUUAAUAUUUUUUGUUGUACAAUAGAACCCUAGUGUGUGUGGGGGGGAAUGUAUUUCCUGAAGACCAUCUCAUCAUUCUCUGGGGUCCAGGGAUCUUAUGUUAAAUUCUAGAAUUAAUGAUUUCUAGGAAAGCAUACAGUGGUUUGAUUCCUAUAUUUUAGACAUUUUGAGAGUAUUAAAAAAUAGGCGAAAUCUGUUUUUGUUUUUUUUUUUUUGGAAGACGCAGUGAACACAUACAAAAAAGACGCUGGAAUGCUCCCACAUGGUGGGCAUAUCAUGGGAUCCAAUGCACACUGCCCACACGAGAAUACAGAUGAGAGAGACAUGGAGUGAGAAAGAGGAAUGAAGUACCAGUAGAUUCAAGUCAAGGAAAAACUGUUUUGGGCAGAGGUAAGGAAGAACAGGAAACUGAACUGUGAAAAACACAGAAGCACGGCAAGUGCUGUCGAGCACAUUUUCUUCCUUUUUUUUUUUUUUUUUUUUUUUUUAACCUUCAGGGAAACUUUGUUUAGUCUUCUUUUUAAAGCUAUCUAGUCUAAAAAGGAGUUGAGGUGAAGACUGAAGAAAGAACAUGAGACCUUCUAACAGAGUCAAACCGACUCAGACAGACAGAAGCGGGGGAAGGAUCUGCAGCGUUUAUUUUGUGGCACCAACCCCAGGACUCCAGCCCCUUGGCGCCAGGCAGGCCUCCUGAGAAAGGUGCAUCAGCUUUGGGCGUGGCGGGUUGCAGGGGCGGAGGCGCCAUCUUUGACGCUGCCUUUCCGGAGCCUGUCGAACUGCAAGUAUAAAGACUCUCUUCUUAAGGCCUACUUCUUGACCAAGGGAGUUGCAAACUGCUCCAGGGAGUCCACCUCGGAUGGAGCCGAGGACCUCAGCUGGGUCUUGGGGGUGCUCCCCACUCUCUCCCGCCAGCUCCCGCCCCGCGAAGGGGGUGGCUCGGACUCACAGACGGGACCUUGGUUGGGAACCGCCGACGCCCCCGGAGAAGUCGCGUUCUCUGCUUGCUCCCCCGCCGCCGCAGUCGCAAACAUGUUCGCACCAUCCGCGUGACGUCCCCCGACGUUGAAAGCACCCGCUGCCUCACAGGUGAGACCUAUGAGGCCCCAGGCCCAGUUCUUGAUUGCUCGCCCAGCCGCC
rnacentral:lncRNA from 1 species